GUGAGGCGAGACCGUGAGGUUAAGCAAAGCACAAAAAAGGACAUCUCAGUUCGGAUUGUAGUCUGCAACUCGACUACAUGAAGCUGGAAUCGCUAGUAAUCGCGAAUCAGAAUGUCGCGGUGAAUACGUUCCCGGGUCUUGUACACACCGCCCGUCACACCAUGGGAGUCGGUAAUACCCGAAGUCAGUAGUCUAACCGCAAGGGGGACGCUGCCGAAGGUAGGAUUGGCGACUGGGGUGAAGUCGUAACAAGGUAGC
rnacentral:rRNA from 1 species